GCACUGCUGAGGAGUCCCAUAAUAGGACGAAACGGCCGUUCAAUGC
rfam:Schistosoma mansoni strain Puerto Rico chromosome 7, complete genome